GCAAGUCGAGGGGUAGCAGGGAGCUUGCUCCGCUGACGACCGGCGCACGGGUGCGUAACGCGUAUGCAACCUACCUCUUACUGGGGAAUAGCCCGAAGAAAUUCGGAUUAAUGCCCCAUAGUAUUUGCUUUUCGCAUGAUUAGCAAAUUAAAGGUUACGGUAAGAGAUGGGCAUGCGUCCCAUUAGCUAGAUGGUAAGGUAACGGCUUACCAUGGCAACGAUGGGUAGGGGGCCUGAGAGGGUGAUC
rnacentral:rRNA from 1 species